GGUGGUAGUACCAGACUACCAGUCUCGAGCGGUUCUCUGCCCACACACGGCUCGCUCGAUGCGUAGCGGGACAGCCGCCGUGUGGUGGUUGCUCGUCGCCGUCGCCGUCCCCGCGCUCCUGGUCUCCUGCGCGGCCUCCGCACGUCCUCCUCCAGUGCUGCCGCGAGGUGGUGGCGACGCCGGGCUGGCUGGAGGGAGAGAGCUAGGGGCCAUGGGAGCUGCGAGGCGGUUGGGGCAGAGGACGCCGGUGAACAAGCCUCCCUCGCCCAACCCCCACGGCGCGUCGUCGAUGGCCGUGCCGCCGCCACCGUCGAUUACUAGCUAGGGCCAAGGUCAAAGGCGGAAGUAGCGAUGGUGCCUGUGAUCGCCUAGCUAGGCAGCUAGCCAGAGUAGAACAACUAGCAGUUGUGCACGAUACUUGUUUUGCUACUGAUAAAUUAUUAUGGAACUGUAUACACCAACCGAUGACUUUUUUUUUCUUUUUCUUCGCAAACACCAACCGAUGGCCAUUUACUACAAAAUGCAUCGG
rnacentral:rRNA from 1 species